rnacentral:rRNA from 1 species
ACACGACUACAUUAGAUACCCGCGUAGUCCUAGCCGUAAACGAUACUCGCUAGGUGUCGGCCACGGUGCGACCGUUGUCGGGUGCCGUAGGGAAGCCGUGAAGCGAGCCACCUGGGAAAGUACGGCCGCAAGGCUGAACUUAAGGAAUUGGCGGGGGAGCACCACAACGGGUGGAGCUUGCGGUUUAAUUGGAUUCAACGCCGGAAAUCUUACCGGGACCGACAGCAACAUGAAGGCCAGGCUGAAGACUUUGCCGGAUUAGCUG